UACGAAGGGGGGCUAACGUUGUUCGGAAUCACUGGGCGUAAAGGGUGCGUAGGCGGGUCUUUAAGUCAGGGGUGAAAUCCUGGAGCUCAACUCCAGAACUGCCUUUGAUACUGAAGAUCUUGAGUUCGGGAGAGGUGAGUGGAACUGCGAGUGUAGAGGUGAAAUUCGUAGAUAUUCGCAAGAACACCAGGGGCGAAGGCGGCCGACUGGCCGAGUGCUGACGCUGAGGCGCGACGGCGUGGGGAGCAAACCGG
rnacentral:rRNA from 1 species